CUACGGGUCGCAGCAGUGAGGAAUAUUGCGCAAUGGGGGAAACCCUGACGCAGCGACGCCGCGUGGAUGAUGAAGGCCUUAGGGUCGUAAAAUCCUGUCAGGUGGGAAGAAGUGGAUAUAGAUUAGUACUCUAUUUCUUUGACGGUACCACCAAAGGAAGCACCGGCUAACUCCGUGCCAGCAGCCGCGGUAAUACGGAGGGUGCAAGCGUUGUUCGGAAUUACUGGGCGUAAAGCGCGCGUAGGCGGUUUGUUAAGUCAGAUGUGAAAGUCCAUGGCUCAACUAUGGAAGUGCAUUUGAAAAUGGCAGACUUGAGUACUGGAGGGGGUGAUGGAAUUCCCGGUGUAGAGGUGAAAUUCGUAGAUAUCGGGAGGAAUACCGGUGGCGAAGGCGAUCACCUGGCCAGAUACUGACGCUGAGGUGCGAAAGCGUGGGGAGCAAACAGGAUUAGAUACCCGAGUAGUC
rnacentral:rRNA from 1 species